CUUAACUACAAAUAUUUUAAUCCAUUGACCCACACUGACCCCUUUAAUCAUACUGAGAACCUCUAUAACACUAUAGAGCCUUUUAUGCUAAAACUAGUAACAAGAGACCUCCCCUCUCCUUAAUGCAAACAUAACCCAGCAAGAACCCAUCACUGGCAAUUAACAGAAUAAACUAAUGUAGUAACUUCACUAGAAAAUUCUACUCUAACCCACUGUUAACCUAACACCAGAGCAUUUCAGGAAAGAUUAAAAGAAAAAGAAGGAAUUCGGCAAACAUUGGCCUCGCCUGUUUACCAAAAACAUCGCCUCUUGAUUUUCCAAUAAGAGGUCCAGCCUGCCCAGUGACUCUGUUCAACGGCCGCGGUAUCCUAACCGCGCAAAGGUAGCGUAAUCACUUGUUUUCUAAAUAAAGACCAGUAUGAAAGGCACCACGAAAGCUAAACUGUCUCCUUUCUCUAAUCAGUGAACCUAAUCUCCCCGUGAAGAAGCGUGGAUUUUUACAUAAGACGAGAAGACCCUAUGGAGCUUUAAACAUCAUAACACUUGCAUUACCCUUUAAUUAUCCAGAUACUUUUCCUUAAGCAUACUGAUUAUAAGUUUUUGGUUGGGGCGACCGCGGAGAAUAACCCACCCUCCACAAUGAAAGGGGGCAUCCCCUAAACAAUAAGUUACAACUUUAUGUAUCAACAAAUUGACAUCCAUUGACCCAACAAAUUGAUCAACGAACCAAGUUACCCUAGGGAUAACAGCGCAAUCCACUUUAAGAGCCCCUAUCGACAAGUGGGCUUACGACCUCGAUGUUGGAUCGGGGUAUCCUAGUGGUGCAGCCGCUACUAAAGGUUCGUUUGUUCAACGAU
rnacentral:rRNA from 1 species